rnacentral:rRNA from 1 species
AGAGUUUGAUCCUGGCUCAGAAUGAACGCUGGCGGCGUGCCUAACACAUGCAAGUCGUACGAGAAAGGGGCUUCGGCCCUGAGUAGAGUGGCGCACGGGUGNNNNNNNCGUGGGUAAUCUACCCUUGGAUUUGGGAUAACUUCGCGAAAGCGGGGCUAAUACCGGAUAGUCUGGCUUUAAUUAAGAAGUCGGUAAAGGAUGCCUCUGCAUAUGCAUUCGUCCGAGGAUGAGCCCGCGUCUCAUUAGCUAGUUGGUAGGGUAAUGGCCUACCAAGGCAACGAUGAGUAGCUGGUCUGAGAGGAUGAUCAGCCACACUGGAACUGAAACACGGUCCAGACUCCUACGGGAGGCAGCAGUGGGGAAUAUUGCGCAAUGGGCGAAAGCCUGACGCAGCAACGCCGUGUGAGGGAUGAAGGCUUUCGGGUCGUAAACCUCUGUUGUAAGGGAAGAACGGGCAUUGGUCUAAUAUCUGCCUGGUCUGACGGUACCCACAAAGGAAGCACCGGCUAACUCCGUGCCAGCAGCCGCGGUAAUACGGGGGGUGCAAGCGUUAUUCGGAAUUACUGGGCGUAAAGCGCACGUAGGCGGCUUCGUAAGUCAGGGGUGAAAUCCCACGGCUCAACCGUGGAACUGCCUUUGAAACUGCAAAGCUUGAAUCCUGGAGAGGGUGGCGGAAUUCCUGGUGUAGGAGUGAAAUCCGUAGAUAUCAGGAGGAACACCGGUGGCGAAGGCGGCUACCUGGACCGACAUUGACGCUGAGGUGCGAAAGUGUGGGGAGCAAACAGGAUUAGAUACCCUGGUAGUCCACACCGUAAACGAUGGAUACUAGGUGUUGCGGGUAUUGACCCCUGCACCCAAGCGAAAGCAUUAAGCACUCCGCCUGGGGAGUACGGUCGCAAGACUGAAACUCAAAGGAAUUGACGGGGGCCCGCACAAGCGGUGGAGUAUGUGGUUUAAUUCGACGCAACGCGAAGAACCUUACCAAGGCUUGACAUCCUGUGACAGCUAUAGAAAUAUAGACUUGCCUUCGGGUGAACACGGAGACAGGUGGUGCAUGGUUGUCGUCAGCUCGUGUCGUGAGAUGUUGGGUUAAGUCCCGCAACGAGCGCAACCCCUACAGCUAGUUGCCAGCACAUAAAGGUGGGAACUCUGGCAGAACUGCCGUUGACAAAACGGAGGAAGGUGGGGAUGACGUCAAAUCAGCACGGCCCUUACGUCCGGGGCGACACACGUGUUACAAUGGGGGGUACAGAGGGUCGCUACCUAGUGAUAGGAUGCUAAUCUCAUAAAGCCUCUCUCAGUUCGGAUCGGAGUCUGCAACUCGACUCCGUGAAGCUGGAUUCGCUAGUAAUCGCGCAUCAGCCAUGGCGCGGUGAAUACGUUCCCGGGCCUUGUACACACCCCCGUCAAGCCAUGGAAGCCGGGGGGACCUGAAGUACGUAACCGUUAAGGAGCGUCCUAGGGUAAAACCGGUAACUGGGGCUAAGUCGUAACAAGGUAACC